ensembl:lncRNA
UAGGAAUCAAAUUACUUUUUGUACAAUUGAAGAAUUAAUAAAGUUAAUAUAUUCAAUGGUCUUUUUCCAAAAAAAUGUUUACUCUCUAAGUCGAGAUAUAAAAAAAAAUAAAAAAAUAAAAGAAGACAUUAAAAAUAUUGUUUUGUUUUUGUUACCUUAUAUUGAUAGGCUAAUCGAAAUGGAUGUUUGGAAAAUUUUAGAGUACGAAUAUAUAAAAGCUCGGGAAAAAAAAAUUAAAAAGGAGUCGACGUUGUUAGUGGAUAAGUCAGUGCAGUUUCUGGAGAAACCGGUCGAACAUAAUUUUGAGAGUGGCCAUAUAAAACGUAAUUCGAUUGGUAUUGGUAGUAGCAACAUUAGUAGCAACAUUAGUAGCAACAGUAGUAGCAACAUUAGUAGCAACANNNNNNNNNNGUAGUAGCAACAGUAGUAGCAACAUUAGUAGCAACAGUAGUAGCAACUCAAGUCAUUACGCAACAACUGUCAUAAGAAAUAAAAACACAAAUUGUGAUACUGCAAAAAAUAACAUGUCUAACAACGUACAUAUGUUUUUAAAACAUGUAAGUUAUCUAUUAAAUUUAUUUUACGAAUACAAACUUUUAGACAUAAAAUUAAUGUAUACUGUAGUGUUUAUUCUCUGUAAAUAUGAAAAAAUUGAUUUGCUAUUGUUGAGUAAUAUUUUGAAUUCAUUUUCGAAGUUUUACUAUUCAUAUGACAUUUAUUUUUAUAGUUUUUUUUUUUUGAAUUAUGUGAAUAGAAUAAAAUUGAACGAACAUGUGAUGCGUUCAAUUUUUUUCCCACCAGUGGUGCCAGAUACUACUACCAGCGAAUGUAUACCAUCACCUGAUUUUGACUUGUAUAAAAAAAAAAAGAAAAAAAAAAAAGUAAUUACCAUUUAUAUAUGGCAUGCUUUUUUAAAAAAUAUUAAACGUUGCGUUUUUAAUAAAAAAGUAUUCAAAAAUUUAUUGCCAAUAAAUAUAACCAAAAUGAUAAAGGGGUUAAUAUAUUACAAACUGUUAGAUAAAGAAAUGAUACAUUGUAUUAUUAAUAUAAUUUGUAAAAGUGAUGGUAAAGGGGUUAGAGAUGUGAGUGCAGUUAACGAAAUUGGGGGGGUGGACGAAGUGAGUAAGGAGAGUAGGGCGAGUAAGGAGAGUAGGGAGAGUAAGGAGAGUAGGGAGAGCAGCACCAAUGGAAAACAAAACUUCAACCUAAUUUGUUUAAGCUCCCUAUUAAACUACAUGAGCGCCACAGACGAUAUCCAAUUUUUUGAAUUAAAAAUAAAAUUAGUAAAAUUAAUUAAAAAUAAAAUACUAACAGAAAAACAUCAAGUUGAUAAUAAUAGACUGUUAUGUAGCAUAUUAAUAAGUUACACUAGAUUAAACAUAUAUGACAAAAAACUAUUUUAUGACAUUUUUAUAAAAUUAAAUUUUAAUAAAUUAAAUACGAUGCAUAUAUUGAGUAUAUUAUUUUAUGUUAAUAAAAUGGCAUUGUAUGAUAAAAAAAUAAUAAACAUGUGUUUUAUAAAAAUAUUUAAUCAGAUAAAAAAUACAGAAUUGAAAAGAAAGGAAUUAGGAAAAGAUAUAACAGAUGGGUUAAAUGUCAAAAUAAAUAAAAAGUUUUCAUAUGGGUCAUUUCAUACAAUUUAUGAAAAUGAAGAAGAUAUAUUAUACAGUGGUACGAACAAAAACGUAAUAACUGAAUUAUCUAUAUAUAUUAACAUGUUUUAUAUUUUAAUAUCAAUUAAUCAACUACGUUUGUAUAACGAUUUUAGAAAUAUAUUAAAUAAGAUAUUUUUUAUAUUGUAUAAAAUAUACAAUAGCAGUAUGAAUUUAAAAGAGUUUACCCCAUUAUCAACAACAACAAAAAAAAAAAUGAAUUACAAUUUAUACUCGAUGCUAUUAAUCAGUUUACAUACGUUUUAU